rnacentral:lncRNA from 1 species
GUGUAAUGUUAUAGGCUAACGCGUCACGAAUGAGCAAAUUCAUUGAAAAUAUUAGAUUUUUGUUAUGGUUUAAAUACAUAUCGUAGGACAUAUAUCUUAAAGGUACGUUUUUUUUUCGACACACGUUUGUUUUCUUUAACAGUAUUAGCAAGCACCAACAAAAUGUAAUGGCCACAAAAUCCUUCACUACGAAAAUGGACCGUUAUUUUGUUAUUUAUUAAGCAUAUUACUCCACGUCUAGACAAUUAUGAAUGAAUUUACAACUGACGAAAUUCGAGAUUGAAUUUGUAUGGACGCAGGUAGAAAAUUACUUAUCUGACGUUUCGAUUUAAAUAUAUCAAGAAAAGGCUCAUUACUAAAAUUCAUUUGCGAAAGCGUUUAAAUUUUACACAUACAUAUGGGUUUUUAACUAAAAUAGACUUUAAAAUACUUUAUACUGCAACAGCCAUGUUUGCCUUCAAUAUUUAAAAAAAACCACGAAUACAAAAACACCUUUUAACUUAGGUAUGUUCACAGAGCGUUCUGGAUUAUGAUGUACCUUCAUCAGAAAUUCUCAAUUCAAACUUUGUGAAAAAAAUGUAUACAACAUAUCUUAAUAUUUUAGAAGCUUUAUGUCAAAACGUUACUAGGCUAACAGGUUAAAUUUCAUUGGGACGUCUUAAUUGUAGUUAUAUCGAAGGUAAUGGUUUGACCUUUGGUACGGUCAUAUUAAAGAAAUGAAAACUGUUUCUUGUUCCAUCUCUUCCCAACGCUGUUUGCUGUUUCUGUUGGCUUUCUGUUCGGUGUGAGCCAAGGCUCCAUGUUUAAUACCAUACUUCGACUUAUUAUGGUUUCUCUUUGCAAAUUAUGACUUGGAUGGAGAGUUGUCUCACUGACAUUCAUUCAACAUCUUCUAAUUUACUCAUUACUAAAAAGUAUACGGAACAAGCAAGCAAAUCAAAAUCCCGGCUAUUCUUGAUUUCUUAUUAGAAUGUUUUCGAACUUAGUAUACCAAUAGAAAUUGCCACUGAAGGAUAAAGAGCCAUCCGUCUACCAAAGAUUUGUAUACAGAAUAACCCCAAAAAAUCAAAACAUGUAUUAUAAAUUAUGUGGAGAAACGUUUAAUUAACAAAAUAAAAGAAAAUUAUAUGGACAUAUUUAUAAAAUAUACUGUUUGCAAAAGAACGAAUUAUUCGAAAUACUAAGGAUUUUGUUAUCCCUUAUAUUACCGUAUUUGGCACAAAAUUUUGGAAUUUUGGUUCCUCAGUGCUCUUCAACUUUUUAUUUGUUUUUGCCUUCUAACUAUUUUGAUCUGAGUGUCACUGAGGAGUCAUAUGUAGACACGUCUGGUAGUUGCGUAUCACGUUAUUAGCCUGUUAUCUUUGAUAUAACUAUCAACUAACAUAAUCAACUCAUUUAUUUCAUUUGUUUUAAAUGUCUAGUCUUUCGCUUUCUGUUUUUGUUUAAAAUUAAUAUGCAUGACAAAUUUAAAAGGACAUAGACACUUGACGAUUGAACGAUUUUCAAUGACAUAAAGUUUUCAAUAUAUUUACGUACAUUUGUACAUGAGGUUUUCAAAAUCGGUAACAUAAGUCUGAAGAUUGUUAUUAAUGAGGCAUUUCAUUGAGACAGUUAAUGGGUGUCUAUUUAAAGUGAUAUUGUAUUGAAAGAUAAACAAUAAAUCUGACUAAAAAAAAUAAACAACAAAAUACAAUGAACUAAUUUUAGCUGUAUUGGAAUAUAAGUAUAUUUACUUGAUUUUACAGUUUGUUUCUAUAGUGUAUAAUGACAACACUGUCAAAGAUAAGAGGAGGGCUGAACACUCACACACAUGUUUACUCCUCCACAUUCUGUAUUUGCCUGUCCAAAAUCAGAAGCCUGAAGUUUAGUGGCUGUCGCUGGUUCUUGUCUGUCAUAUCAGUUUUCGUAAAUUGUUUUGUAUCAAAUGAGACCAUUAGCUUUCUCGCUGUCACAUUUUAUCUGUCGGGGGCCUUUGAUAGCCGGCUAUACGUUAUUGAUUUUUCUGCUAGUCGAAGGCCCCGCGGUUACCCAUAUUUGUAGCCACUCCAUUUGAACGUUACGGGAAAUGUCUCAAUGGCACGAAUAUAUAUAUAUUCUAUCUCUAAAUUUUCGUAUUUUAAUGAUUGUUUGCAUUACUACAUUAGGAUCUGGAUGGGAAUCCCUUCGUUUAUGCUUUCCUUGAUUGUUCUUAAUUUUUUAUUUAUAUAUUUUGCUUAUUAUUCUCUAUUCUAUAUAUUUUAGUAGCCAAUUUUUCUCAAUUCUUUGUAAUUCUAUUUUUUUUCUUUAUUCUCUGUUUUUGUUUGUCUUUUAUUUUACACAUGUUAACCAUUAUUCUAUAUUUGGUUUACCUCUCCCGGACCCUCCUACAUGUACAUCUCUAAGUGUUUCCAGUUUUGCACCUAUGUUGAUAUGUUAAAACUAGCUGCUGUAUUUUAACAUGUUAUAAUUAUUACAGUUUUGUAACCUACCUAAUGGUAAUUUGCAGAUCAUUAUUUUAAUUAACAGAUGAUCUGAAAGCUUAUUCUUAGCACUGAUUCGUUUAUUGGAGACUGAUGGGUAAUUAACCAUGACAACGGGGCAGUUUUCUACUUAUACAUGUAUGCAAAUGCACUGACCUCAAGAGAAAAUGAAGAGUCCAAAGACCAUUUUCUUCAAAGUAAGUGUGUUUUUUUUUAAUUCAGUUGAUGGUACAAUGUAGUCUUUAAAGAACAUAAAAUUAGAAAAACAUCCCGUAUACAGUUUAGAAAAUUUAUGUUCAUGCGUUGAUAAAGUAUUUGAUUGAAGUAAAACAAGUGUUACAAAUGUCGCACUGUAAAACCAAAGCGACCUUGCACUCUUUCUAUCAAAAAUACUUUUUUUUUCCACGAUCUUGAGAACAAAAAUCUUUAAAAUAAGCCUUUUUAAAACGUGUUUGUCUUAUCGAAGUAGAAGAAUAACACUGUAUAUAAUUCUAAUUCGUACAAGCCAAACACGUUUUAAAUGUAACAGCCGAUUGCAGCGAGUGAACAGAUAAAGGUAAUAUUUCGGUUAGCUUGCUUGCUAGCUGGACCGUGAAGUCAUUAUAAGGUCAGGUAAGCUACCCUCUUUUAAGAGAAGACUAGUCCGACAGAUAACCAAUAUAUCAAUCUGUAGGACAAGGCUACUUCGUAAGGAGGGUAGUACACCUUACCUUAUAAUGACUUCACGAUUCAGCUAUCAAGAAAGCUAACCAAAAAUAUCACCUUUACCUACACACUCAAUGCAAUCGGCUAUAAAAAAAAUCUUCAUUAUAUUGAAUUGCAAUAUAACACUUAUGACUUUGAUGAGCUAUAAGGUUUCCCUCAAUAUGUGAGCACUACACUACCAGGCCCAUUUUCCUCUUUUAUGUUAUGAAUAUUUCGACAUAAAAAUGUAAAUCCAAUACCCUCCUCAACAAGAUAAUAUUAUUUUAAUCAAAUUUUAGUUUUUAUUAGUCUGAUUUCGUUAUGCUUUAGGUGUACCUGCUGACGGUAACUAUUUAUUCAAUAUCUUCCUUUGAACUGGUUUGCCCAGAAACAUCGCAAUGGAGGUUUUCGGCACAGAGUCGGUGCUCCAAAAAUCAUGACAACUUACAUUACUACUGUUUGUAUGAUGCAAACAACCUGAAAUUUAUAGAACAAUGCAGAAAGAAGACUGAUUUUCAAAGACCAGG